ACUUAUAUAGUAUAAAUAAAUUACAUUUAACUUCCAAUUAAACAAUUUAGACCAUAAACUAAUAUAAGUA
rnacentral:tRNA from 1 species